CCUCGGCGCACCACCAGUCACAACCUCUCCUUGCCACGAUCUGUGGUCAUGGCGGUCGAGGACCUGGAUCCGCCCUAGAUUGGGCGGCGCACCAUCGGGAUCUCAGUUCCAGCAAUGGCGCGUGGUCGGCAAGGGAGCGCAUUUUCGCGUUUCUGGCGCGGUCGCCGGGCACCACUGGACUGCCAGACUUGCCGCCCGUAGAAUUCAUGGUGAGCGGCAUGAAGUCUAGGCCGCAACCUGCUCGGACCACGCGGCCGCUCGGGAAUCCACACUGUCCGCGCAAUGGAGUCCAUACUACCAGCCACGGUACUCCACAGAUUCCCCAAGAACCCACGCUCCACUCCAGGCUCUGGCUCCUGCUCCAUACCCGUGGACGCACGUACAUGGAGUCUGCAGAGCCGUGAUGCUGCUCUGCUCUACCUGCACUAUAGUGGCGGACGCUGAUGUGAGCUGCAGUUUACAUUCAUGACCUUGAGGCUCCUGGUGGCAAGCGUUUGGCAUUUACCUGAAAAAGUGUAGGAAAAUAAAGAAACUUUGCGUUUGGUACACCACUUGAUCAAGCCUACUAUGCUAUAUCUAAGACGUGGCAUGAUGAUCCAGUAAUACUCCAUGGGGAAGUUUGUCUAUUUUCUCACGGGAGUUGCCUCAUCAACUAUUUUGUCGGCCAAACCACAAUGGAAGUUUACUUUUUCUCGGUGUGAAAGUUCAGCUUUAUAUAGUCGGGGAGUGUUGUCCGUCCGCGUUUACUUUCAAGGUUUAUUUUGAUGUUUCUGUCAACUCCUUUGAGCUAAUAUAAGUGCGCACUGAAUGGUCUGAACUUUAAAUAUCUUAACUCAUAUCUAUGCUAUCUUUCCUAUUUCGAUCCACAUUGGUAUGCUGAUGCUACUUGAGCUAAUAAUGAUGUUUAUGAAUUGUGUUAGAUUUUUUUAUCAAAACAAGCAGUCAACGGAAUCAAAGAACAGGAAGUUAGCAUCCUCAUUAGAGGCAGUGCACUUAAUGCAUAUAUAUAUUUAAAUUUACUAGCACCAUAGAGGGCCCUAGACAUCAACAGCUAGGCACGUUGUAUCUUUUUAGCACGUAUCUGGUUGUAGUUCGGUUUACUUCUUGGCAUUGUUCACAUCUUGGGCGCUUGAAGUUCAAUAAGUCCACGAUUAAAGAUAGAAUGGUGUUUAAUAAGUUCACUUCUUCUAAUCCGUGCAACUCACUUAUCCUAAUCUGUGAAGCUCACUUCUCUUAAUUUGCGAAGUUCACAUCUACUGCUAUUUUCAUUUUAUAUAUUCCUAAAUAUUUCUGAACAUACUGUAUCCCAGGUUAGCUAGAGCCGUGUGUUGCAUAGAGGGAGAAUGGGAGUUGAUUUCUCCUUCGUGUAUGCCAUAGAGGAAAUAUAAUCGCUGAAGUGAUGCUACUAAUUUCUUGUUGAUGCUUAGUUGAUUACUCACUGAUGUUAAUUGUAUUCUAUUUUGCAGAGAAACUCAUAUAAUGUGAAGUGCACAUUGGUGAAAAUAUGAAAUUCACUCUAAAAAACAGAAGUGCGCUUAUUUGGUAAGUUCACAUUUUUCUGUCCAAAAAGUUCAUUGUGGAAGUUCACUGGUUAGUUAAAUCACCUCUUGGGACAAUCCCUUUCUUCUGUAUGUAUUUGAUAUAGAGACAGAGGUUGAUCCUUCUAUGGAAGAAAGGUAGUUCACAUUGUUCACCAUUGUGAGUUCACUUGUUAUUUUCUUGGAGUUCGUUUUCCAGUGGCGGAGGUGGACUCCUGGGACUCGCGACGGAACAGGCUCCUCCUAUGAAAUCCAGUGCGGGCGACCUCGAAAUCCACCAAUGGAAGACACGUGAAUCAACCCCUGUUCCGCCCAGGAGUCCAUCCAAGCUCCUCCUAUGAGUCCAUCCAAGCUCCUCCCCUCCCGUGAUGCCACCAUGGGGAGUCCAAUAUGGUCCGCCAUGGGAUUCCGGUGCAGGCAACCAGGAAUUCCACCCCUAAUUUUGGCGACCGGCUCCGCCCAACGCACCUCCCUGUUGGUUGAGCUCCUGUCCGAUGAGUAGCACUGAUCUUAAUUCAGAGGCUAACUACUACUGGUGAUUUCAUCCAGGAAGUUCACCGUGCCCCCAUCGGGAGUCCACCGUGCUCAGAGCUCGCGCAUUGCUCCUGCGUACGCCAGAGUCCUACCCCCUUGCUGGAAGUGCAGCUGUUGCUAGUCAUGCCUGGACUCUUGGCGGUGCCACUCUGAACUCCAGCUCUCCGCAUAGCCACCGCCAUCCAUGGGACAGACGCUUUCGGAGGAGUUCACAUGCCCCGCCAUGAAAGUUCAUAUUGCUCUAUGCAGGGAGCAUGUGCAGCUCCAUCUUCAGGAACAACACUUGGAGCUCCCUUAAGAUGGUGUUUGGGAUACCUUUGAAGCCAUGGUCCUAAGCUUCUUCAAACCUCGUCCGUGCCUGCCUGGCCUCCACCCUGUUCCCUGCCUCACUGGCCUCACUCUUGUAAUCGUCUGGUCGACCGCGCCUUCCACCCACGGGAGUUCACAAAGCCAGGCGUAGGCGUCCAUUGGCACCAACAGUUCUCGGCUCAUAAGCGCACCUCACCAACGACAUGGCUACCAUCCCAAGCUCUCAGCCUUACACAACGGGUGGCUCACAGACAACCCCGAGUCCAGGCUCAUUACACGGCAGCAGCUCCACAGCAGCGUACCAACGAUGAGGCAGUGCACCACCGACAUGAUUUUUACAACUGACGGACAAUCCCAUAUGCGCACAGCUAGUACCUGAUGCAGUUAGCUUCAGUUUUUCUAUUUUGGCUCUUGCCUAGAAAGUUCUGUAGCACACUCUCUAAUUGAUUCUCUAUCUAAUUUAGUAUUUGCGU